rnacentral:rRNA from 1 species
UACGUAGGGUGCGAGCGUUGUCCGGAAUUAUUGGGCGUAAAGGGCUCGUAGGCGGUCUGUCGCGUCGGGAGUGAAAACUCAGGGCUUAACCCUGAGCCUGCUUCCGAUACGGGCAGACUAGAGGUAUGCAGGAGAGAACGGAAUUCCUGGUGUAGCGGUGGAAUGCGCAGAUAUCAGGAGGAACACCGGUGGCGAAGGCGGUUCUCUGGGCAUUACCUGACGCUGAGGAGCGAAAGUGUGGGGAGCGAACAGG